rnacentral:lncRNA from 1 species
GUUGGUCAGUCUCAAACUCCUGGCCUCCAGUCAUCCUCUCAUCUCAGCCUCCCAAAGUGCUGGAAGUACAGGUGUGAGCCACCACGCCUUGCCUGGAAAAAAGCACCUCUUUAUGGGAUGAGCUUAAUUCUCAGUCUAUAGCAAGAAGAGGCAAGUGUGUCCAGGGAAUAAAGAUUUCAGUGAUUGUCAGCUCACUUCAGGUCAGCUUCCUUCUUCUGAACUGCAAGUCAUCUGUUCCACAUCUCUCCACUAUAUUUUGAUAUGUAAUUAAUGUGAUUUUCCAGGCUUCCUUAAUUCUUGGUGUAGUAGUAUUGGGCUGUAGCAAUUUACUAUAUCUUAAUAAAGGGAGAAAGGUCUAUAGAAAUAUUUGUGUAUAUAUGGGACUCUGAAAAUUAAAAGUAGCAUAAUUGCUAUACCGUUACCAGAAACUGAAGAUUUCAUAAUGGAACCACUAACUUUGGAAUCAUAUGCAACAAUAUAACUGUUUAAAAUAGAUUGUAAUUGUUGAAUAGUGAAAAUGAGUUUUCAGUCGAAAAUCUGACCUUGGCCGGGCACGGUGGCUCACACCUGUAAUCCCAGG